AUAUACUCAAGCCGUGCCCAGGGUAGAAGACGGUCUCCUGUUGCUUCUAGAGCAAGAUGUAGAACUCUUGGCUCCUUCUCCAGCAACAUGUAGUCUGCAAGCUGCCAUGUCUCCCAUCAUGAGAAUAACGGACUAAACCUUUGAAACUGAACUGUUUGCAGAUCCCAUGGAUGCUACCUGAGCUCCGGAAUGCCACCCCUUCUGCUACAGGGCUUCAGUCCCAAGUCCCACCCGGCCAAAGAACUGGGCUCCUUGCCAGCGUUCCUGCCCCAUCCCAUCCUACCUUCCUGCCAACUGUCAGAGAUAUCAUCAAUAAAUUGUUUGAAUUAUUCAAU
rnacentral:lncRNA from 1 species